UCACUAAGAGAUGGUCCCGCGGUGCAUNAGCUAGUCGGUAAGGUAAUGGCUUACCAAGGCGAUGAUGCAUAGCCGAGUUGAGAGACUGAUCGGCCACAAUGGGACUGAGACACGGCCCAUACUCCUACGGGAGGCAGCAGUAGGGAAUCUUCCACAAUGGGCGAAAGCCUGAUGGAGCAACGCCGCGUGUGUGAUGAAGGGUUUCGGCUCGUAAAACACUGUUGUAAGAGAAGAAUGACAUUGAGAGUAACUGUUCAAUGUGUGACGGUAUCUUACCAGAAAGGAACGGCUAAAUACGUGCCAGCAGCCGCGGUAAUACGUAUGUUCCAAGCGUUGUCCGGAUUUAUUGGGCGUAAAGCGAGCGCAGACGGUUAUUUAAGUCUGAAGUGAAAGCCCUCAGCUCAACUGAGGAAUUGCUUUGGAAACUGGAUGACUUGAGUGCAGUAGAGGAAAGUGGAACUCCAUGUGUAGCGGUGAAAUGCGUAGAUAU
rnacentral:rRNA from 1 species